AGAGUGAACGCUGGCGGCAGGCCUAACACAUGCAAGUCGAACGGCAGCACAGGGGAGCUUGCUCCCUGGGUGGCGAGUGGCGGACGGGUGAGGAAAACGUCGGAAUCUGCCUAUUUGUGGGGGAUAACGUAGGGAAACUUACGCUAAUACCGCAUACGACCUACGGGUGAAAGCGGAGGACCUUCGGGCUUCGCGCAGAUAGAUGAGCCGACGUCGGAUUAGCUAGUUGGCGGGGUAAAGGCCCACCAAGGCGACGAUCCGUAGCUGGUCUGAGAGGAUGAUCAGCCACACUGGAACUGAGACACGGUCCAGACUCCUACGGGAGGCAGCAGUGGGGAAUAUUGGACAAUGGGCGCAAGCCUGAUCCAGCCAUGCCGCGUGUGUGAAGAAGGCCUUCGGUUGUAAAGCACUUUGUCGAAAGAAAAGACACCGGUAAUACCUGUGUCAUGACGUACGAAGAAUAAGCACGCAACUUCGUGCAGCAGCCG
rnacentral:rRNA from 1 species